GGGUCGGUAUCCAAGUCCGGUUGAAGGAAGCCGUCUGUAAAACGGAUGCCUAUGUGCCCCGUAGGUUCAAAUCCUACCAUUCCGACCA
rnacentral:tRNA from 1 species